UUCGAAAUAUGAAGAGAAAAAGCUUGUGAAACAAGCCGUAUUGCGAGAAAAACAGGAUUGUUUACGUACUGUGACUGAUUUUUUUGAUAGUCUUGAGGAUAAUGCACGAACUGCUGACGUAAAACAAGCAAUUGAAAAAAUCACAGAUUUAGAUCAAAAAGAUAUGAUGAAAUAGUACUUAGAAGAACUAUCUUCACUCACCGAUGUAAGUGUUAUUACAUUGAAGAGAAUUAAAAAAGAAGGUGCGGUGAACGAAGGGGUCUGGAGGACUCCAGGUAAAAACGACCUCACCCUUUAAAAGUGUCGAACUUAGAUAGUUUCGAUAUGGAUGUUAUUCGUAAUAAAAUAAACGAAUUUUACAUUGUGAGGAAACAAGUACCAACAUUAAGAUCUUUGUUGGUAGAGUUAAAAGAAAGUAUAGAAUUUGGUGGAUGUCGUGAAACUCUCCGUCGC